GGAACGGCGUUGAAGAAGAGGAGUAGCUUCCAAUAAUCACUUCAGAGAGCUAGUGGAUGGUGCGAACUAGUGUGAUUAUGGAUGUGAAUGGACUUCCGAGCCUUCAAACCGAAAUCAUUCAAGUAAUGAGAGUAGGCUUUGACGAAUGUCUCAUCGAUACAAGGGACACGUAUUAGAGAAUCGUUCUCUGAUAUGGUAAAGCGGACUGCUAUGCAGUCAACGAAGGUGGCACCACGGGUUUCCCGUCCUUAUU
rnacentral:ncRNA from 1 species